rnacentral:tRNA from 1 species
GCCGGGGUGGCCGAGCGGACUAAGGCGCGAGCCUUGAGAGCUCGUGGCGCAUCAGCGCCUCGUGGGUUCGAAUCCCACCCCCGGCG